CAGUAGCCGCGGUAAUACGUAGGUGGCAAGCGUUGUCCGGAAUUAUUGGGCGUAAAGGGCUCGCAGGCGGUUUCUUAAGUCUGAUGUGAAAGCCCCCGGCUCAACCGGGGAGGGUCAUUGGAAACUGGGAAACUUGAGUGCAGAAGAGGAGAGUGGAAUUCCACGUGUAGCGGUGAAAUGCGUAGAGAUGUGGAGGAACACCAGUGGCGAAGGCGAUUCUCUGGUCUGUAACUGACGCUGAGGAGCGAAAGCGUGGGGAGCGAACAGGAUUAGAUACCCCGGUAGUCCCUGUCUUUAUACA
rnacentral:rRNA from 1 species